CUCGAUGGACAGCAGGUUUAAGAUUCCUGCACCCCUUGUUAUCAGAACUGCGGGGACACGGGAAGGGAAGCAGAGCCGGGAAUGGAAAGCCCGGUGCAAGCGAAGGAGUCGCAGGGUUGGAAAAUCCGCCCUGCAUAAGACGAAGGCGUGAUGCGGAGCGAAAUGAAGUAGUAAAGCUGCGGCCCCUUCCUGUCGAGAAAAGCCGCUAUCGUGUAGCAAGGGCCCGUACCGUAAACCGACACAGGUGGAUGAGGAGAGGAUCCUAAGGCCGGCGGGAGAAGUGUUGUUAAGGAACUCGGCAAAAUGACUCCGUAACUUCGGGAGAAGGAGUGCUGCGCAAGCAGCCGCAGAGAAAUGGCCCAAGCAACUGUUUAGCAAAAACACAGGUCUAUGCGAAACCGAAAGGUGAGGUAUAUGGGCUGACGCCUGCCCGGUGCUGGAAGGUUAAGGGGAGAGCUUAGCGCGAGCGAAGGUUUGAACUUAAGCCCCAGUAAACGGCGGCCGUAACAAUAACGGUCCUAAGGUAGCGAAAUUCCUUGUCGGGUAAGUUCCGACCCGCACGAAAGGCGUAAUGAUUUGGGCACUGUCUCAACAACACACCCGGUGAAAUUGAAAUACCAGUGAAGAUGCUGGUUACCCGCGCCAGGACGGAAAGACCCCAUGGAGCUUUACUCCAGCCUGAUACUGGGAUUCGGUAUUGCAUGUACAGGAUAGGUGGGAGGCUGAGAACUCAUGGCGCCAGCCGUGAGGGAGCCGAUGUUGGGAUACCACCCCUGCAGUACUGGGUUUCUAACCUGCGCCCGUGACCCGGGCGGGGGACAAUGUCAGGCGGGGAGUUUGACUGGGGCGGUCGCCUCCGAAAGGGUAUCGGAGGCGCUCAAAGGUCUCCUCAGGAUGGUUGGAAACCAUCCAGAGAGUGCAAAGGCAGAAGGAGGCUUGACUGCGACACCGACGGGUGGAGCAGGUACGAAAGUAGGACUUAGUGAUCCGGUGGCAUAAAGUGGGAUUGCCAUCGCUCAACGGAUAAAAGCUACCCUGGGAUAACAGGCUUAUCACUCCCAAGAGUUCACAUCGACGGAGUGGUUUGGCACCUGGAUGUCGGCUCAUCGCAUCCUGGAGCUGGAGCAGGUUCCAAGGGUUGGGCUGUUCGCCCAUUAAAGCGGUACGCGAGCUGGGUUCAGAACGUCGUGAGACAGUUCGGUCCCUAUCCGGCGCGGGCGCAGGAUAUCUGAGAGGAGCUGUCCUUAGUACGAGAGGACCGGGAUGGACCGUCCGCUGGUGGACCGGUUGUCAUGCCAAUGGCACGGCCGGGUAGCCAAGACGGGAAGGGAUAAACGCUGAAGGCAUCUAAGCGUGAAGCCCCCCUCAAGAUGAGAUAUCCAUACUCGAAAGAGUGAGAGACCCCUUAGAGACGAUGAGGUAGAUAGGGCAGGGAUGGAAGUGCAGCGAUGCAUGGAGUUGACUGUUACUAAUCGGUCGAAAGCUUG
rnacentral:rRNA from 1 species